UACGUAGGGUGCGAGCGUUAAUCGGAAUUACUGGGCGUAAAGCGCACGCAGGCGGUUGGUUAAGUCAGAUGUGAAAGCCCCGGGCUCAACCUGGGAAUUGCAUUUGAAACUGGCCAACUAGAGUACGUGAGAGGGGGGUAGAAUUCCAAGUGUAGCGGUGAAAUGCGUAGAGAUUUGGAGGAAUACCAGUGGCGAAGGCGGCCCCCUGGCACAACACUGACGCUCAGGUGCGAAAGCGUGGGGAGCAAACAGG
rnacentral:rRNA from 1 species